GUCCUUCUUAACAGGCUUAUUCAUGGCAAGAGAUAGCAAGGAUGUUAUCAUUGUGCAACCAGCACUUGGACCGUCCUUCGGGGUGGCACCAGCAGGAACAUGAAGAUGAAGCUUUAAAUUGGUAAAGAAGAGGUUGCCUGGAUCCUGCAAUAUGGCCCGGGCAACGGUGUGAGCAAUCUGUGCACUUUCCUUCAUCACAUCUCCGAGUUGUCCUGUAAGAUUAAGGCACCCCUUGCCUUCUCCUUGCUCAAUGUCAGAGGUCUCUACAACUCUUCUCUACUGAAGUUAAUUUCUUUUGUAAGAUAAUGUCAAAAAUAGGGUGGUUGGUUAAAUGGGCGAAUAGUUCAUGAAUUUCACCUCGUACCAAAAUCAUACAUGAACUUUACCCCUAUAUCAAAACCGUACAUGAACUUAGCUUCAUACCGAAAUAUACCUAAGAUUAAAUGAGCAACAGUGGCUCGUCCGGGCAUAACUUACAGUAUACACGUGACAUUCUCUGCAGAUAUUGUUCAAAAGAAUGGGAAUGAAGAAACGUCCCGUUUUCCAGCCUUGAAAAGACUUCCAGUCGAAGAUUACUCAGCAAGAAUGUAUAUUUUAUUCUAUCUUCUGGCUAUAGUCAAAAGCCAAAUCAAAUAUUUGACUGUAAUCAUCUACAAAAUGUACCUCGUGGCCUUCCUUCACAUUCGAUGCUAGCUCAUCAAAAUCUCUCCGGUUAGCUGAGGGGAAGAUGAUGGUCUUCACGUCAUUUCGCCUUGCAGCAAUUGUCUAUUCCUUAACCUGAUUUUACACCAAGAGAAUUUCGAAGAGAUUCAAGACAGUAAAAGAUGAAGCACAAUUUGUGAUGGUAAUCUCAGAAGACUUUCAGUGAAAUAAUUUUAGGGGAUAUAUGCACAAUGAAUGAUCAUAGCAAUAAAUAUGACAGCAGAAUAUGCAAAAGUAACAACAUUCUGAGAGAACUUUGAGUUUGCUUUCACCUACCCCACCAAUGGGAAGAAUUUUUCUAGUUAGCGUGACUUCUCCAGUCAUCGCUAGGUCCUUCUUAACAGGCUUAUUCAUGGCAAGAGAUAGCAAGGAUGUUAUCAUUGUGCAACCAGCACUUGGACCGUCCUUCGGGGUGGCACCAGCAGGAACAUGAAGAUGAAGCUUUAAAUUGGUAAAGAAGAGGUUGCCUGGAUCCUGCAAUAUGGCCCGGGCAACGGUGUGAGCAAUCUGUGCACUUUCCUUCAUCACAUCUCCGAGUUGUCCUGUAAGAUUAAGGCACCCCUUGCCUUCUCCUUGCUCAAUGUCAGAGGUCUCUACAUAAAGCGUAGAGCCACCCGCUGCAGUCCAAGCAAGACCCAUUACAACUCCAACUGGUGUUUGAUCAUAUAAGCGCUCAGCAUGGAAAACAGGCUUGCCAACAAAAUCGACAAGGUUAGAUGCAUCGACCA
rnacentral:lncRNA from 1 species